AGAGGGUGCGAGCGUUGUCCGGAAUCACUGGGCGUAAAGGGCGCGUAGGCGGCCUGGUAAGGUUGCGGUGAAAGCCCGGGGCUCAACCCCGGGUCGGCCGUGGCAACUGCUGGGCUGGAGCACUGUAGAGGCAGGUGGAAUUCCGGGUGUAGCGGUGGAAUGCGUAGAGAUCCGGAAGAACACCGGUGGCGAAGGCGGCCUGCUGGGCAGUGGCUGACGCUGAGGCGCGACAGCGUGGGGAGCAAACAGGAUUAGAUACCCUGGUAGUCCACGCCGUAAACGAUGGGCACUAGGUGCUUGGGGGAGCGACCCUCCGAGUGCCGGCGCUAACGCAUUAAGUGCCCCGCCUGGGGAGUACGGCCGCAAGGCUG
rnacentral:rRNA from 1 species